AUUGAACGCUGGCGGCAGGCCUAACACAUGCAAGUCGAGCGGAUGAAGGGAGCUUGCUCCUGGAUUCAGCGGCGGACGGGUGGGUAAUGCCUAGGAAUCUGCCUGGUCGUGGGGGCUAACGUCCGGAAACGGGCGCUAAUACCGCAUACGUCCUGAGGGAGAAAGUGAGGGAUCUUCGGACCUCACGCUAUCAGAUGAGCCUAGGUCGGAUUAGCUAGUUGGUGGGGUAAAGGCCUACCAAGGCGACGAUCCGUAACUGGUCUGAGAGGAUGAUCAGUCACACUGGAACUGAGACACGGUCCAGACUCCUACGGGAGGCAGCAGUGGGGAAUAUUGGACAAUGGGCGAAAGCCUGAUCCAGCAAUGCCGCGUGUGUGAUGAAGGUCUUCGGAUUGUAAAGCACUUUAAGUUGGGAGGAAGGACAGUAAGUUAAUACCUGCAUGUCUUGACGUUACCAACAGAAUAAGCAACGGCUAACUUCGUG
rnacentral:rRNA from 1 species